rnacentral:lncRNA from 12 species
AUGAGGGAAGUAAGGACAGUGGAUAGGAGGACCCACAGCUGUCAGAGACAGCAGUGGGGGCCUCCCUGUGCUCUAGGGUUCCACUGGCCCCAGAGAUCUCCCCCACAGCACAAAUCUCUCCAGCUGGAGGCCCCUCCAGUUCAUGAUGACACAAAUGGGAUCCAUCUCGGUCCCCCGGAAACUGCCCCUCCCACUGCCAUCCAGUUACGUGAAGAAGCAACCUGGAGACCGCGGGCAGCCUCUCCUCUCUGCACCCCAGGUGGGUCAGCCCCCAGCCAGGCUCGCCCCACUCCCUCUAGAACGUGCUCCCCUCGCCGCGGCGCCCCGGGCCGAGCAGUGAGCGCAUCCCCCCACUCCCACUCAGGGACAGGCCAAGCCGCCCACGUGCCUCCACAGAGCUCAGUCGCAUGGCCCAGUGCCCUGUCUAGAGGACUCUGGCAGCAUCCACACUCCAGAGGCGUCCCUCAUCCUGACCCUGCCGUGAGCCCCAGGACAGGCACUCCCUUGCCCUCUCCUGUUCCCGUGGGGGCAGGGCCACCGUGCUCGGUUCCAGACCAAGGCGGUCAGUGCUGGCCUCUGCUGCGGAUGCCCCUCGGUCUCACGCCCCAGGCCCAAUGCCCUCUCCUCCCCAGAGUCGGCUGCUCUGACAUGUUUGCUGCAAAUAUGCUCAGCUGCUGUGAACACACGUUUCCGACGGACAGAAGCGGUGCCAUGCCCUCUGUGCUCUGCGUCUUCAGCUUCUCCAAGAUGCUGUGUGCCGCCCGCACGGAUGCCCCAGCUGCUGCAACGUGCUCCAUCCUGCGAACCUCGGCCUGGGCUUGCUGGACCCUCCUGCCUGGGCUGGGCAGCCACGGGGCUCACCUGCAUUGUUGUCCCUCUUUCAGGAGAGGGGUCAGUCCCGCCCUGCUCCUCACCCUGCAGAAACAGGGCUUUGGCUCCCAGUGGGUCACUCUGGGUCACCAGUGCGGCAUCUCCACGGUGGCACAGCCUCCCCAUGGGCCUCACACAUCCGACCUGUGGGUGCAAAGCAUCUCCCUGUCGCUCUAG